GAAAUUCCAAGACAAGAAUUACUGCUUCUGUUUAUACUUCACUUUACAAACCCCUAUUUUUCUAUCUAUCUACCAGUACUUAAAAAAAAAAAGAAUAGUGUAUGUGUGUGAAGAAAAUCUGCAGCUAUCCCUUAAGCAUGCUCAAGCAUGCUCAGCCAUCUAUUGACAUUUUUUUUUUUGACUCCAGCUCCAGCAGCAUAUCUGCAAAAUUUUCACACCCGAACACCUUCAUUUGGUUUCAGUUUUCAACAAACAAAUCUAAUCUCAUUAAUUCUUCAACCAAAAUCUCAAGUAUUCAACAGACAAAUCUAAUUUGUCAGCAGCAAAUAUAAUCUCAUUGAAUUCUUCAACCACGCCUAAACUUAGCCGCACUAUUCACCAUAUUUUUUCACACUAGCAGCUUCAGUAUUUACUCCCUAUAAAAGGCAUCCUCACUUACCUAAAAUCCUUAGCAGCUGCAAAGAAUUUUAGACGAAACAAGAUCACCAUAUAUAACUCAGCAACAACAACCAACAAACAAAACUUUCAAGGUAUUCACUAUCUCAUUUGCACGCUUCGGUUUAAUUAGGAAUACAGAAUGGUAGAGAACCUACAUAUGCAUAAAUGGACAUAGCAAAUAUAGCAAACCAUUCGUUUCUGUGAUACAUAAUGAGCUAUGAUAUGUUGUAAAAAUAAGAAUACAGAAAACCAAGUUUUCAUUCCAAAAUCAAGUCUUUAUACAAAGUUGAAUUUUCUGAAAAUUAUUCAAAUUUACGAACCUAUCGUGAGUGAUAAAACGAGAGAGAAAGGAUGGUGGAUUGUCGGAGCUCUGCGACUCAC
rnacentral:lncRNA from 1 species